rnacentral:rRNA from 1 species
AUACGGAGGGGGCAAGCGUUGUUCGCAAUUACUGGGCGUAAAGCGCACGUAGGCGGACUGGUCAGUUGGGGGUGAAAUCCCAGGGCUUAACCCUGGAACUGCCUUCAAUACUACCAGUAUUGAGACCGAGAGAGGUGAGUGGAAUUCCUAGUGUAGAGGUGAAAUUCCUAGAUAUUAGGAAGAACACCAGUGGCGAAGGCGGCUCACUGGCUCGGUACUGACGCUGAGGUGCGAAAGCGUGGGGAGCAAACAGGAUUAGAUACCCCAGUAGUCC